UACAGAGGUCUCAAGCGUUGUUCGGAUUCAUUGGGCGUAAAGGGCGCGUAGGCUGCGGGGCAAGUCGGGUGUGAAAUCUCAGAGCUCAACUCUGAAACUGCACUCGAUACUGCUUUGCUCGAGGACUGGAGAGGAGAGUGGAAUUCACGGUGUAGCAGUGAAAUGCGUAGAUAUCGGGAGGAAGACCAGUGGCGAAGGCGGAUCUCUGGACAGUUCCUGACGCUGAGGCGCGAAGGCCAGGGGAGCAAACGGG
rnacentral:rRNA from 1 species